UUACAGAUACCUUUUGAUGAAAACCUAUCUUCAUUGAAUUAAGUAGGUAGCUACUGGUAAUGGUUAAAUGCCCAUGUCUUUAAUGACUUCACUCUCAAGGGAUUGUUAAAGGUUAAAAUGGUUUGUGUUUGCCUAAAGUUGUCAGUCUAAAUACCAGUUAAUAAAGACCUCCUAAGGGUAAAUUUAAAUAUUAAGACUCAUGACUAUUUUCAACUGAUUGUACCUGCUACUAAUAAGAUGAUAAUGAUAAUAACUAUGAUUGUUGGAGAAGCUCAGUAUAAGGCUCUUUUCAGGUAUAAAGGAAUAAGAAAGUCAGAUGCUGAGGAUGAUGACAAAGGCGUAUUUAAUCUUGUGAAAAGAUUGGUUACUUUGUUAUCAAAUCAAAAAACAAUAUUCUUAUGCUAAAAAUUAAUGGACCGGAGAAGAUGAAGAAACAAAGAUGAUGAUCGUCGUGUUUGAUCAUCAUUUUUGAUGAAUAUUUUUGCCUUGACAACUAUCAUUGACGAAAGAUGCACACAAAGAGGGGAAACGUUUUUCUAGUGAUGGUUUCUUAUUGUUAAACUCAAUUUUCAUCUCAACCAUACAAUGGAGUACAAUUGACUUUAACAACUCGAUUAUACCAUGAUGACGAUGAUACUCAGGAUAACAUCAAUUUCAAAAUCAUAUUUCAUGUCAACACAGAUUACAUCUCUUACCAGUGAAAUACAAGGACAAUAAAAGCAAAAUCAAUUUUUUAGCUUUUGUUUUUAUUAAACAGUAAAACAGUGGGAAUAAAAGGCUCCAGAGAAUCGGAAGAAAUCAAUUCAAUAGAGCUGCCAGAUAAUAUUUGAUUAGAAAAUAUUUUCAUCAGAAUAACAAGAAGAAGAGAUAAACAAAGCAAGCUCAUCAGAAAGAAUCACCAGUUUUACAAAGAAAAUUGAACUUGGACUGAAUUUGGCUUACGUUUCUCCUGAAUUUGAACUAAAUAUCCACAUUGGUAGGUUAAUACAGGUGAUUAUCAUCUAUGAUGAUCAAUAAUGUGCAUCAGAUGUUUUCUUGUUGGUGUUGGAUACUACAUGCGUUUCUUGGAUUCAAUAUUAUUUUUUAAUACGAUGUUAAUCUCAGGUUAAAACACACACACCGAAAAUGUUUUUGCACGUAAUCAACAUAUUCAAAGCCUUCCAGUUGCUUUAUUUGGCGCAUCAACAUGAAUGGAACCGGGAAAACCAAAUGUUGGAUUUAACUGUGUGUAUUCAAAGCAAUAUUAAUAAUGUUAAGGAGGAGGCCAAAAGAUGGAGAAGAAAAUACACAUUAAAAGGUGAAAGAAAUUAAUUGAAAUCAUAGUUUAAUUACAUUAUGCUUGGAUGGUAAAGAUGGUAAAAAGCAAAAGGUGAUGAAGAAGAUGAUCAUUUCUAUCCCCAUCAUCAUUAUCAUCAUAAUGUACCGUUAAUAUUUUCACCCGAGGACCUAUUAUGAUUGAAGUUGGAGUACAAAAAAUGGAGAAGCAACCACAAUAAUUAAAUUCAUUUGAAUCUCUUCAACCAGUUUAACUGUAAUUUAAUCAAGGCCCAACUGGAAAAUUUGUCGCUUUUGUUGGUGGAAAAAGAAAAUUGAAAACAAUUUUAUUUUCUAAAUGUUUCAAAUAAUCAUCCUAACCAUAAUAAUUUA